rnacentral:lncRNA from 1 species
GUCGAUUUACUUUGGGAGGAAAUGGACAUAUUGAUAGACUCUUCCGCUUUGAACUGCUUGCAGAACUUGCCUGGACUAUGGAUCACUUGUAUGCAUUGUGAACUAUGGUUUGGUGCUGCGAAUUGUGGUAGUGCUGGCAUAUCUUUGCUGAUGGUGUCACCAGUGAUGCAAUUUUUCCAAAGGAGCCGUUAAUUGGCUUGGUGUCGUGGCAUUUCUGUAUCCUCCCUUCUGCUAGUGAUGGUCUAAAAUUUGGGGGCCAACAGAGGUGAGGCAAAGAACCUCACACCCCCACUGGCACCAAGGCCAAAUUUGGGGGCCAACAGAGGUGAGGCAAGAACCUCACCCUUCCACUGGUGCAUAGGCCAUUCCACAAGUAUGGCUGUAUGCUGGACCGGUAGUCAGUGACGGGUAUGAUCCAAUUGCAGUGGUAUCAACCUAAGACAGGAGGCUGACGCCUAGAGGUCAAUUUUUCCCAUGACGGGUAAGAACCAUAUGUUGAAUUGGACAACCUACCAGGCACGGUCCUUAAGCCACAUUGCUUGUUGUUUAAUUAAUCAGAAGGGGGGAGAUGCUGAGAACCAUUGCCAAGUAGGAAUGACGCAUCGCAAUUUCUUUGUCAGCCUACUCCAUGUUGCUUAGAGGAAGGACUCUCCUUUGGACCCAGGUCAUUUGCAGUGACAUUGCAUGUAUGUUUGAGUAAGGUGACCCUGCUCAAGGACCAGGGUGGAUCCGGGUUUAGGGAGGAUCCUGCUGGGUUAGGGUGGUUCCAGGUUUAAGGUGGACCCUGCUGGGAAUAGGGCGUAUCCUUCUGCCUCAAGCGCCCGCCCGCUCCUUGAGUUCCCGUUGAGUUCUCACGGGAUUCAGAGAGUAUUUUGGGAUGGAGAGCCCAGUGGAAGUGUGCAUUUUGCCCAGAACGUGUUUGUAGAGUGCUGGUGUGAGUUCGGGAAUAAAGAAUUGCUGUUUGAAUCUACAAGGCUGUGAGUGGCUCUUGAUUUUGUGCCCAGCCAGACUACGGCACAAAAUGCUUAUAAUUUUCUUUUUUUGUAAUAUCUUUGGUAUUAGGGUAACGUUGACCUUCUAGAACGAGUUAGGAAAUAUUCCCUUUGUUUCUGUCUUCUGAAAGAGUGUAGAGAAUUUGGCAAAAAUUCACCAGUGAACCCAUCUGGACGUGGUACUUUCUGUCCAGGAAAGUUAUUAUUGAUAUAGUUCUUUGAUACAGGCCUAUUCAGGUUGUCUUUUUUUUUUUUUUUUUCAGUUG